CCGCAGUCCGGCCCUAAUAUAGUUUUUAAAUUCAUUCAUUCCAAGGCUUUUGGGAGGCGCUCAGUGGCGUGCAGUUUCCUCUCGAAUUUCUUUCUUCCCGCAGUCUUUCUGGGCGGGCGUCUCCCGUCUGUUUCUUCCCAUCUUCCCCCUUAUCAUCCUGGGACUGGAUAAUUCUUGAAUAGUCUGGGAGGUAGCAGGGAACCCGAGUUCGGAGCCUCGACCAGAACCUCCAGACGGGAAAUUGGAGCAGGUGGUGUCGUUCCAGGACGCUGAGGACCACCUCCUCCCCUAACGCACAGCCCAACGAUCCUAAAAGUUUCUUCCCCAGGGAACAGAGCUUGAGCCGGGGGCCACCCCCCCGUCCUACCG
rnacentral:sRNA from 1 species